GCCUGGGUGGCUCAGUGGUUGAGCAUCUGCCUUCAGCUCAGGACGUGAUUCCUGAGUCUGGGAAUCGAGUCCUACCCUGGGCU
rnacentral:tRNA from 1 species